GAAAUGCGAUACUUGGUGUGAAUUGCAGAAUCCCGUGAACCAUCGAAUCUUUGAACGCAAGUUGCGCCCCAAGCCAUUAUGCCAAGGGCACGUCUGCGUGGGCGUCACGC
rnacentral:rRNA from 1 species